GAUGAACGCUGGCGGUGUGCCUAAUACAUGCAAGUCGUACGCAUUCCCGUUUUUGAUUGAAGGUGCUUACACCUGAUUGAUAAAACAUCGGAAUGAGUGGCGGACGGGUGAGUAACACGUGGGUAACCUGCCCAGAAGUGGGGGAUAACAUUUGGAAACAGAUGCUAAUACCGCAUAAUAGAUAGAACCACAUGGUUCUAUUUUUGAAAGAUGGCCUUUGUGCCAU
rnacentral:rRNA from 1 species